rnacentral:rRNA from 1 species
UACGUAGGUGGCAAGCGUUGUCCGGAUUUAUUGGGCGUAAAGCGGGCGCAGGCGGAUCCUUAAGUCUGAUGUGAAAGCCCCCGGCUCAACCGGGGAAGGGCAUUGGAAACUGGGGAACUUGAGUGCAGAAGAGGAGAGUAGAAUUCCAUGUGUAGCGGUGAAAUGCGUAGAUAUAUGGAGGAACACCAAUGGCGAAGGCGACUCUCUGGCCUGUAACUGACGCUGAGGCGCGAAAGCGUGGGGAGCAAACAGG